CAAAGUUAGUCUGGUUUCAAUGUAGAUACCUUAGUACCACUGUAGGCAACGUAAUGGUUAUGCAUUCAUAAAUAAUUUCAAGAUUUAAUUUCAAACCACCUCGCCAAGGACAUCACACGUGUCGUGCCCUUCUUCCCUUCGGGCACUGCACUGAAACACUGAGAAACUGAUCUGAAGGAUAUGGGAUGUCAUGACCGGAAGGGGAUUUUAUCCCAGACCAGAACAGAAGGAUAGCACCUUAAAGGUCGGGGCAAUACUGAUAGUGCGGUCCCAGAAUGAUGUCUGGGGGGGGGAAGUUACUCCCACUGCUCACUACAUAUGCGCAUCUAAAUAGUACCUGUCCAUACUCAUUACCAAGGACAGGGAGGGGAAUUAUUUAUUAUACUUUAAAAUCUGAUAACUUGUUAUCAGUUAGACUUGAAGGAUCGACUGUAUACUCUGUGACUGAAUAUUUGUAUCGCUAUGUGAAGCUAGCAUGAAAGAUGUUGAUAAGGUAGAGGGAGAGAGUCGGUUUCACGUGACAUUAUUAGCGAACAUUUUGUCAACGUAAUCAAUGUCAAUUAUUCGUAAGAGUAGUAGUAGUUAUUUUUUUUACGUCUGCUCAGGAUGUGUUCUUUCACAAGUUUUAGGGACCGAGAUGAAAUCACGGGAUAAGAUCGUGCCAAGUGAUAAUACGUAGUGGAUUAUUCUGAUGAUCGUGCCUCAGUGCGAGGAGUGCACAAGCUUGCAAACCAGAAAGGACAAAUGCUUAUAAACACUAACCAGGCGCACAAAUUAUUAUUAUUAUUAUUAUUAUUAUUAUUAUUACUAUUAUUAUUAUUAUUAUUAUUGUUUAUUUGCUUUACAAUUAAUUUUAAAUAAAGCGAGAGGUUUCUAAGUUGAAUGACCAAGCAAAGAAAGGAGCCGCUGAUAUGAUUAUACGAGCGCCUGAUCAUUGUGCGAAGGACCACUUCACUGUACAAAACUACAAGGGUUUUUCUUAUCACCUCAUGAGCAUCCCAAUAGGCAUCGGUGACCAGGCAAGCAAAGUCAUCUCCUGAGUGGGUGCACGAAUGUUUCUGACUGAACGGUGAUCACAGUAUUCAAAACAUUACUUGAAAACAAUGUUCUCGCUGAAUUGAAAUGAGGGAGAUUGGAGGGCAAAAUUACGGCAGUUCGUAUAUACAAUUAGUCUUAAGAUACCGUGUGGCACUUAGAAAAAUACUAAAACAACAAUGAGGUGUCUGCAAGUACAGCCUUACAUUGAAUGGAAACUUCACCUUCCUUCAAAGCCUCUGCAUCAUCAUCUCCGCUGCAGUCAGUCACAUCUGGGAAAACUCCGCCUGCAAAAAGUAAGCGUGUGUCCCGGCGAGCCCCUGGCCAGACUGGAGCUCUUUCUCUUCACUCACCUGUUUCAGCGGUUCACCUUCAUACUGAUGGAGGAGGAGAAAUCCCUCCUAGAAAGCAACGCAAUGUUCAACGCUCCGCCGGAGUACACUGCCAGAGCAAAGUGCCGCACUAAAUAAGCCUCCACGUGACCAAUUAAGCAAGAUGCUUUCAUUAAUGUAACCUCGAAUGAAGCUCAAAGUACACGA